rnacentral:rRNA from 1 species
UACGUAGGGAGCAAGCGUUGUCCGGAAUCAUUGGGCGUAAAGCGCGCGUAGGUGGCCACAUAAGUCCGUUGUGAAAGUCAAAGGCUCAACCUUUGAAAGCCGAUGGAUACUGUGUGGCUAGAGUACGGAAGAGGCGAGUGGAAUUCCUGGUGUAGCGGUGGAAUGCGCAGAUAUCAGGAGGAACACCGGCGGCGAAGGCGGCCCUCUGGAUCGUUGCUGACGCUGAGACGCGAAAGCGUGGGGAGCAAACAGG